rnacentral:rRNA from 1 species
UACGUAGGUGGCAAGCGUUGUCCGGAUUUACUGGGCGUAAAGGGCGUGCAGGCGGUUUGUUAAGUGCAGGGUGAAAGCUCCCGGCUCAACUGGGAGAGGUCCUUGCAUACUGGCGAACUCGAGGGAGGCAGAGGAAAGUGGAAUUCCCGGUGUAGUGGUGAUAUGCGUAGAUAUCGGGAGGAACACCUGUGGCGAAGGCGGCUUUCUGGGCCUUACCUGACGCUGAGACACGAAAGCGUGGGGAGCGAACAGG